CCGGCGCACGGGUGAGUAACACGUAUCCAACCUGCCGUCUACUCUUGGACAGCCUUCUGAAAGGAAGAUUAAUACAAGAUGGCAUCAUGAGUCCGCAUGUUCACAUGAUUAAAGGUAUUCCGGUAGACGAUGGGGAUGCGUUCCAUUAGAUAGUAGGCGGGGUAACGGCCCACCUAGUCUUCGAUGGAUAGGGGUUUUGAGAGGAAGGUCCCCCACAUUGGAACUGAGACACGGUCCAA
rnacentral:rRNA from 1 species